GACGUCCACAGCGAGAGCCUCCAGGUGCUGGGCCAGCUGGAGGUGUGGGCCGACCUGGACUGGUCCGGCCUGCGGGACGUCCAGCUGCUGCUGCCCCCCGUCAGGGAGAGGCUCAUCGACAUGAGCCACCUGCUGUCCCACCGCUGGAGCUGCCUGGACAACACCCAGAGGCUGCUCACCACGCUGACUGAGGCCACCCAGUGGUGUGACGCCGUCUCCUCGGCCUCCCCCUCCUCCUCCCCCCUGGCCUCCCUCCCGCCCAUCCCCCCCUCCCGGUUCCAGGACGCCCGCUCCCUGGCCCUGGAGCUGGGCGGGGGCCCCCUGCUGGACCUGUGGACCCAGACCAUGGAGCGCUACCAGCGGACCGUGGCGCAGGUGAAGCCCCGGCUCCUCCAGGGCCCCGGCCACGCCCAGGGGCCCCAGGCGGGGAAGGGGCCCAAGACCCCCUGGACCAGCAGCCUGUGGGAGCUGAUGGGGCCCGAGGGGGAGGGCGAGGGGGACUGGGGCGGAGGCGGCGGCGGCGACGGGCCCCUGGGGACCCUACAGGCGUGGGGGUCCCUGGCGUCGCUGUUCCGACCGCAGACCUGCUCCACGCUGAAGAUCGCCGAGCCGGCCGGGCCCAGGAAGGAGGGCGGGGGCGGGGCCUCGGGAGGGGCAGGGGGCGGAGCCGGAGGGUUCCUGCAGAACCUGCUGAAUCCGGCCAAGAAGACGGUGAGAUACACGGUUCAUAGAGACUUAUAUGAGAUGAGCUCUCUCUCUCUCUCUCUCUCUCUCUCUCUCUCUCUCUCUCUCUCUCUCUCUCUCUCUCUCUCUCUCUCUCUCUCUCUCUCUCUCUGUCUCUCUCUGUCUCUCUCUGUCUCUCUCUCUCUCUCUGUCUCUCUGUCUCUCUGUCUCUCUGUCUCUGUCUCUCUCUCUCUCUCUCUCUCUCUGUCUCUGUCUCUGUCUCUCUCUCUCUGUCUCUCUCUCUCUCUCUCUCUCUCUCUCUCCCCCCCCCCCCCCAAUCCACCCAGUAUCAUAACCACCUGUGACCCCCCCUGUCUCCUCUGA
rnacentral:lncRNA from 1 species